rnacentral:ncRNA from 1 species
GGUGAAUUUGGUUUUGGUUUAAUUUUUGGCUAUAACUACAUGAAAUGCAUGGUACUUUAGGGGUUCUGGUGAGUAGAGGCAGAAAGACAUAGUGUAAUAGUUUAAAACUAUUUUGGUACUUGAGCUCUUAGUAUAGUAAUUUUUAAAUUAUGCUUAAAUUUCUAGUCACUAGGUGUGGACACCAGUGUUGAGGAUUAAACAAUAAACGAAAGUUUGAUUUAGUGAGUAGAUGGAUUUAGAUCCGGCGAAUAUUUGUGCCAGCAGCUGCGGUUACACAAACGGGUCAAGUCAAAACUGGCUCGGCAGAAGAGAAGGUUAGAGAGGAAGGAAUAAAAGGAAGACGAACACUAAUUUAAUAAAGGUACAAUUCGGGUAAGAGAGUUACGUUCUUGGCUUCCUAAAUCUUGAGGCCUUGAAAUUUCAGGUGGAGACCGGGAUUAGAUACCCCGUUAUUCUGGAAUGUAAAAAUUGAUAUAUUAUAUUUGCCUGGGUACUACAAGUUUUAAAUACGUAGUGAAGGUAUUUAGAAAUUACUUAAAACUUAAAAGACUUGGCGGUGCCUUAUUUCUUACCAGGGGAACCUGCCCCAUAAACUGAUGAUCCACGUUUUAGCUUACCUUGUCUUGAAUUAAUUUCGGUUUUUCAGCUUGUAUACCGUCGUCGUCAGGCCGCCUUGGAGAGAAGUGGAGUGGCCUAUAAGAAUUUGUUAUUUUAUGGUUAGAUAAUUAUAAAUUGAAUUAUAUUCUAGACGUCAGAUCGAGGUGCAGCUUAUGAUAAGGUGGAAAGGUGGGUUACAAUAGGUAUUGCCUAUUAUGGAACAGUUCUUGUAAUAGAGUUGUGAAAGUGGACUUGGAAGUAAUUUAAAGUUAUGAUUAGAAAGCUUAGAUGAAAUAUGAUGGUACUAAGGUGUGCACAAAUCGCCCGUCGCUCUUGUUGAGAAAUAAGAUAAGUCGUAACAUAGUAGGGGUACUGGAAAGUGUCCCCGGGAUAAA